rnacentral:rRNA from 1 species
UACGAAGGGUGCAAGCGUUAAUCGGAAUUACUGGGCGUAAAGCGUGCGUAGAUGGUGCGUUAAGUCGGAUGUGAAAGCCCCGGGCUCAACCUGGGAACUGCAUCCGAUACUGGCGGACUAGAGUGUGAUAGAGGAUGGCGGAAUUCCCGGUGUAGCGGUGAAAUGCGUAGAGAUCGGGAGGAACAUCCGUGGCGAAGGCGGCCAUCUGGAUCAACACUGACGUUGAGGCACGAAAGCGUGGGGAGCAAACAGG